CCUGGCGGCACUAGCGCGGUGGUCCCACCUGACCCCAUGCCGAACUCAGAAGUGAAACGCCGUAGCGCCGAUGGUAGUGUGGGGUCUCCCCAUGCGAGAGUAGGGAACUGCCA
rnacentral:rRNA from 5 species